UACGGAGGGGACUAGCGUUGUUCGGAAUUACUGGGCGUAAAGCGCACGUAGGCGGAUUUGUAAGUCAGGGGUGAAAUCCCGGGGCUCAACCUCGGAACUGCCUUUGAUACUGCAAAUCUCGAGUCCGGAAGAGGUGAGUGGAAUUCCUAGUGUAGAGGUGAAAUUCGUAGAUAUUAGGAAGAACACCAGUGGCGAAGGCGGACUCACUGGUCCG
rnacentral:rRNA from 1 species